rnacentral:lncRNA from 1 species
GGUGGUUCCCUCCCGAACAGUGAGUAUCGACUCUGGUACACGGCAGUUCUCUUGACGGUGUGUAGUCGGCUUUGCUUCUGGUGGUUUGCGCCCCUUUGGCGGAACUAUCCGGCGUUCUUUCCGGCGAUGAAACGCUGACGGUGGUGCGAGCUCUAUCCCGAGCCGUUUCUGUUUGUCUUCGGUGCUGGUCGCCGGCUAAAGUAUUGGAUGAUCGGGUUGGUGUCGUUUGGUUUCCUCGGGAGUGAUUGAGGAGUGUGACGGGUUCAUUAUGGUGAUUGUGGGCCUGAGUUUGGAUGAGAUCUCGAUUCAGUUUUCGAUUGAAGCUCUCCGACGCUCAUGUGUAUCAAUUGAAGAAGCUGAUUCCAUUAAACUUCCAAUACAGUCGUUGGAGGUGGUUUCGGUGGCUUGGAUAGAUCCCGGUUGAAUCCGGUGAAGUGGUUACCUUUGGUGAAGAAUGGUUUGUCGGUAAAGACGGUG